ACGGACAAAGGGCAGCAAGUUCGCGAGGACAAGCAAAUCCCAUAAACCGUGGCUCAGUUCAGAUCGUAGGCUGCAACUCGCCUACGUGAAGAAGGAAUCGCUAGUAAUCGCAGGUCAGCAUACUGCGGUGAAUACGUUCCCGGGCCUUGUACACACCGCCCGUCACACCAUGGAAGUUGGCCACGCCCGAAGUCGUUACUCCAACCCUUGUGGAGGAGGACGCCGAAGGUGGGGCUGAUGACUGGGGUGAAGUCGUAACAAGGUAUCCGUACCGGAAGGUGCGGAUGGAUCACCUCCUAA
rnacentral:rRNA from 1 species